rnacentral:rRNA from 1 species
UACGGGAGGCAGCAGUGGGGAAUAUUGCACAAUGGGCGCAAGCCUGAUGCAGCCAUGCCGCGUGUAUGAAGAAGGCCUUCGGGUUGUAAAGUACUUUCAGUCGUGAGGAAGGUGUUAAGGUUAAUAACCUUAGCAAUUGACGUUAGCGACAGAAGAAGCACCGGCUAACUCCGUGCCAGCAGCCGCGGUAAUACGGAGGGUGCGAGCGUUAAUCGGAAUUACUGGGCGUAAAGGGCACGCAGGCGGUUAAUUAAGUUGGAUGUGAAAUCCCCGGGCUUAACCUGGGAAUGGCAUUCAAGCUGGUUAGCUAGAGUCUUGUAGAGGGGGUAGAAUUCCAUGUGUAGCGGUGAAAUGCGUAGAGAUGUGGAGGAAUACCGGUGGCGAAGGCGGCCCUUGGACAAAGACUGACGCUCAUGUGCGAAAGCGUGGGGAGCAAACAGGGAUUAGAUACCUU